rnacentral:rRNA from 1 species
AUUGAACGCUGGCGGCAGGCCUAACACAUGCAAGUCGAACGAGUGGCGGACGGGUGAGUAAUGUCUGGGAAACUGCCUGAUGGAGGGGGAUAACUACUGGAAACGGUAGCUAAUACCGCAUACCAUCGGAUGUGCCCAGUUGGGAUUAGCUAGUAGGGGGGGUAACGGCUCACCUAGGCGACGAUCCCUAGCUGGUCUGAGAGGAUGACCGGCCACACGGGAACUGAGACACGUUCCAGACUCCUACGGGAGGCAGCAGUGGGGAAUAUUGCACAAUGGGGGCAAGCUGUAUGCAGCCAGGCGGCGUGUAUGAAGAAGGCCUUCGGGUUGUAAAGUACUUUCAGCGGGGAGGCGUUACCCGCAGAAGAAGCACCGGCUAACUCCGGGCCAGCAGCCGCGGUAAUAC